rnacentral:rRNA from 1 species
UCCGUAGGUGAACCUGCGGAGGGAUCAUUACCGAGUUUACAACUCCCAAACCCAAUGUGAACGUUACCAAACUGUUGCCUCGGCGGGAUCUCUGCCCCGGGCGCGUCGCAGCCCCGGACCAAGGCGCCCGCCGGAGGACCAACCAAAACUCUUAUUGUAUACCCCCUCGCGGGUUUUUUACUAUCUGAGCCAUCUCGGCGCCCCUCGUGGGCGUUUCGAAAAUGAAUCAAAACUUUCAACAACGGAUCUCUUGGUUCUGGCAUCGAUGAAGAACGCAGCGAAAUGCGAUAAGUAAUGUGAAUUGCAGAAUCCAGUGAAUCAUCGAAUCUUUGAACGUACAUUGCGCCCGCCAGUAUUCUGGCGGGCAUGCCUGUCCGAGCGUCAUUUCAACCCUCGAACCCCUCCGGGGGGUCGGCGUUGGGGAUCGGCCCUUUACGGGGCCGGCCCCGAAAUACAGUGGCGGUCUCGCCGCAGCCUCUCCUGCGCAGUAGUUUGCACACUCGCAUCGGGAGCGCGGCGCGUCCACAGCCGUUAAACACCCCAAACUUCUGAAAUGUUGACCUCGGAUCAGGUAGGAAUACCCGCUGAACUUAAGCAUAUCAAUAAGCGGAGGA